rnacentral:lncRNA from 1 species
CACACACUCACCCUUACACUACCAUUUCCUGUGGAAAACAUCCAAAUUUAACCUUUAAUUUCUUGAAGAGCUGUUUCUUAUAUUUGUUUGGUAGAAUAAACAAACAGCUGACUACAGCAAAUCCAGGGAACACUUCUAAAACUAUCCACAAGCAUCAAGGUCAUCUGUGUGAGACCCUGAUGUUGUGAGCAGUCAGGAUAACUAGCUAAGAACAUAAACUGUGAUUAACAUGCAAGCAAAGAAUAAAAGGGGCUCUUCAGGCAGCAGUUGCCAUCACUGGCUGGGUGAGGAGGGCUUCACCUCUUGGUGUCAUCUCUUAUUUGGCCCUGAGGAUAAUGAGCUGAAUGCAAGAUGGAUGACUCACAUGGAGCACCAUUCAAUUUGAAGAACUCCAAGCAAAAAAGAAAGCCUUGAAAUGAGAAACCUGAAAAUAAAUCAGGAUGUGUGUAUACA